GAGAGAGAAGGAGUCUCCCUGACUCAAAAAGAAAAAAUAAUAAUAAUAAAAAUCUUUAGAAGCUUCAUACAAGGAACAUCUUAGAGUGGAUGGUCAGUGAGUAACCGCUCUUAACAAGAGGAACAUCUUAAAGUCAAUGGUGAGAGUAAGUAACUGCUCAGAGAGAACCGGGAGACAGGGAAAGUCAAAAUAGGAUUCCUACAUGAUAUUAUUAUGAGCUGCACAUACAUGACAUUCCCGUGAGCUCUGACUUGCUCAUUAGCCAAAAUUCAUGCAGUGCAGGCCACUUUCUAUCCCCCUGAUGGUUGGCGAGAGUGGGAGGGUAACCAUAAUCCUGUUGACAGUAAUAAGUUGCAACAUCUUCAGGCUGCAGGCUGCUGAUGGUGAGAGUGAAAUCUGUCCCAGAUCCACUGCCACUGAACCGAGAUGGGACCCCUGUCUGCAAACUGGAUGCA